UACGAAGGGGGCUAGCGUUGCUCGGAAUUACUGGGCGUAAAGGGCGCGUAGGCGGAUAGUUUAGUCAGAGGUGAAAGCCCAGGGCUCAACCUUGGAACUGCCUUUGAUACUGGCUAUCUUGAGUUCGGGAGAGGUGAGUGGAACUGCGAGUGUAGAGGUGAAAUUCGUAGAUAUUCGCAAGAACACCAGUGGCGAAAGGCGGCUCACUGGCCCCGAUACUGACGCUGAGGCACGAAAGCGUGGGGAGCAAACAGG
rnacentral:rRNA from 1 species